GUACACUCCUGCGGGAGGCAGCAGUGGGGAAUAUUGGACAAUGGGCGAAAGCCUGAUCCAGCAAUGCCGCGUGAGUGAUGAAGGCCUUAGGGUUGUAAAGCUCUUUUACCCGGGAUGAUAAUGACAGUACCGGGAGAAUAAGCCCCGGCUAACUCCGUGCCAGCAGCCGCGGUAAUACGGAGGGGGCUAGCGUUGUUCGGAAUUACUGGGCGUAAAGCGCGCGUAGGCGGCUUUGUAAGUUAGAGGUGAAAGCCCGGAGCUCAACUUCGGAAUUGCCUUUAAGACUGCAUCGCUAGAAUCGUGGAGAGGUGAGUGGAAUUCCGAGUGUAGAGGUGAAAUUCGUAGAUAUUCGGAAGAACACCAGUGGCGAAGGCGACUCACUGGACACGUAUUGACGCUGAGGUGCGAAAGCGUGGGGAGCAAACAGGAUUAGAAACCCUUGUAGUCCCAUG
rnacentral:rRNA from 1 species